AUGAGCGAUACGCACAUUGUUAUCCGGCUGCUCUGGGUGCAUCAACUGCAUGUGCAGAGCCCACAAGACCCUCGCUACUGCCUCCAGUCCCCACACACCUCUUCAGCAGGGAAACUAUUGCGACACGCCAACCGUGACUUCACCCACUCCAGCAUAAAGACUGAAAGACAAGGAAGUUUUCAAAGGAGAAUUCCCCUUGCUAGCAUGAUGCCACCGCCUGCUGAAGGCAAUACUCAUGGAGAAGAAAAGCAGCCGCAUGAAAUUGUUCAGAUCUUAAAAUAUUCGUCUGAUCCAGCUGGUCCAUCAGAGAAAACAAAUGGAUUUCUGUACACUUAUCUUCAGCGGAGGCAAAUUCUCCCCAUCCUUGUUCUCACUUAAUUUUGAAUGUGUCUGUGCCAGAUGAACGCUGAACAGUUUUCAGGAACAAUACAAGUUAGAUGAAUGGAUUGCAAGUCCAGGAAGGAAUGCAGAGUGAAUUUGGAGCAGGAAUAUGUAUGAUGCUCGUGUUAUAAAGCUGAUGCUCUGCUUCAUUUAAAUUAUGACAGAUGAGGUUUCUUCUCUGAAUAUAUUUGGAAGUAAAAGUGCUCUUCAGGAGAUGUCACAUUUUAGAUGGGGAAAAAUGUGCUUCAGGUAGUGCCGGUGGAACAAGACGACAAAUGGAGAGGGGUUAAUUUAGUUAUUUAUUACAUUUAUAUUUAAUGUAACCUCUAGGAAGGAUUUUGGAGCAGUGAAUAUGCUUCCUCCCACCAACAUUUUAUGCUGUGACAACAAUUUUCUAGUGAAGAAAAUCAAACUGAGGGAGUGACUCCACCACUGAGACCCAGCUUCAUCCCACAGAUUUGGGACUCCUAAUCUAGCACUGGUCUCAGAUAAUGCUGUAGAUUGCCCUAUAUCCCAGUGGCAUUCAAAACUGAAAGAGAAAUCAGCACUGGAAACAUGGGGAAACCUGCUAUUAUCUCUGAUCAGUGAUUGGGAACAACAACAUAAGCCCAGCCUGUGCCUCGCUUGCUCAUUCCCAACAGGAAGGCUAGUGAUGCACAGCAAAAUGAUCCUGCGGCAGUGGGUGUGGUUUGGAGCAGGGGCUUCCAUAGAUUGUGGACCAGACUCCGCCUUCUAACCAUUACAGCAUGCUAGUUUACUCUAAGUAGGCCUUCUGUUGUCUUGUAAAUCUAAUAUUAGCCAUUUGUUCAUAGCUCUAUCUAAAAAGGAGGUCUUAAGGUCAUUCACUUCACACAUUGCAUAGUAGCCUAUCCAGAUUUGCAACAGAUGUAUAAUUCAGCAGGACAACGACAACUGAUUUGGGCUCUUUGACAAAUGUGCCUAUAAUAGAUGUUUUCAAACACCAUUUUCUAUACCCACACGUUGCAUUGUGUGGCUCAGACCUCAAACAAUGCAGUUUCUGGAUAGAAUCGCAAUGCCAAGUAGAUUGCUGUGAGCUCUUUAUGAGACAAGUUAUGCAUUCUGCUCAGUUAAUUAAUUCUUUGUUUCAAACAUAAUUAUUUCAGAAUAACAAAAGUGAGACUCUUGUGAGUUUCUUUAAUGGUUUUUAUUUUCUCAGCCAAUAAAUUGUUUCUUGCCAUUUCUCUCUUCUUCCCA
ensembl:lncRNA